GUCUUUUUGAUAAUAAUUUAAAGUCAGGCCUGCCCAAUGACAAGUUUAAUGGCCGUGGUAUUUUGACCAUGCAAAGGUAGCAUAAUCAUUAGUUUUUUAAUUGAAAGCUGGAAUGAAGGGUUUAAUAAAAAAAUAGCUGUCUCAARRUUAWAUAUAGAAUUUUAUUUUUAAGUUAAAAAGCUUAAAUAAAAUUAAAAGACGAGAAGACCCUAUAGAGUUUAAUAUUAYCAAAAUUGUUUAUUUAAGAUUAAAAUUUAAAAUUGUMAGUAAUAUUUAAUUGGGGUGAUUAAAAAAUUUGAAAAACUUUUUUUUUAUAAAUACAUUAAUUUGUGAAUAAUUGAUCCAUWAARAUGAUUAAAAGAUUAAAUUACCUUAGGGAUAACAGCGUAAUUUUUUUUGAUAGUUCUUAUUGAAAAAAAAGAUUGCGACCUCGAUGUUGGAUUAAAAUUAAAAAUUGGUGAAGAAGCUAGUUGUUUAAGUCKGUUCGACUUUUAAAAUUUUACA
rnacentral:rRNA from 1 species